rnacentral:rRNA from 1 species
GUGACGAAGCGACGCCGCGUGAGUGAGGAAGGCCUUAGGGUUGUAAAGCUCUGUCAGGAGUUAAGAAAUGUAAGUGUGCUAAUACCACAUUUAUUUGACGAAGGCUCCAAAGGAAGCCACGGCUAACUCUGUGCCAGCAGCCGCGGUAAUACAGAGGUGGCAAGCGUUGUUCGGAAUUAUUGGGCGUAAAGAGCACGUAGGUGGGUUUGUAAGUCAGAUGUGAAAGCCUUCUGUUCAACGGAAGAAUUGCAUCUGAAACUGCGAGUCUUGAGUGUAGGAGGGGAGAAUGGAACUUCUGGUGGAGCGGUGAAAUGCGUAGAUAUCAGAAGGAACGCCGGCGGCGAAAGCGAUUCUCUGGCCUAUUACUGACACUCAGUGUGCGAAAGCUAGGGGAGCAAACGGGAUUAGAUACCCCGGUAGUCCUAGCCGUAAACGAU